rnacentral:tRNA from 1 species
GCAUUGGUGUUUCAGUGGUAAACUCUUGCCUUCCAUACAGAAAACCUGGGCUCGAUUCCCAGCCAGUGCA